UACGGAGGUUGCGAGCGUUAUCCGGAUUUAUUGGGUUUAAAGGGUGCGUAGGCGGCUUUUUGAGUCAGCGGUGAAAUUUUGCAGCUUAACUGUAACAGUGCCGUUGAUACUGGGGAGCUAGGAUUUGGUUGCUGUGGGUGGAAUGUGUGGUGUAGCGGUGAAAUGCUUAGAGAUCACACAGAAUAUCGAUUGCGAAGGCAGCUCACAAAGCCAAGAUUGACGCUGAGGCACGAAAGUGUGGGGAUCAAACAGGAUUA
rnacentral:rRNA from 1 species